AUGGUUAUGCGAUCUCCUGUGUUGCUGCAUGUUGAUCUUCUGUUUUGUUGUAACUCUGUUUUGCUGCUUGAGGGAGAUGGCUUGGCCAGGCCGUCAACACCCAUCGGCAACUUCCGGCAAGCGUCGUCCCAUUCUUCCUCCCCUUACUCUGAUGCCUUGAUGGCCAAAAUCAUUAGCAGGAGCAAGAAGGUUAAGCACCAAUUAUGGUUAAAGCUUUGUCUCUUUUGUGUACUAUGCAUGAUUGAUCUGAUUUUGCUAGUCAGCUUACAAAUUCAAGUAAUACGACUAUUGCAAUGCAUCUUACUAUUAUUUGCAUUGGUAUUUUCUCCUCCUUAG
rnacentral:rRNA from 1 species